AACGAACGCUGGCGGCAGGCUUAACACAUGCAAGUCGAACGCCCCGCAAGGGGAGUGGCGCACGGGUGAGUAACGCGUGGGAAUAUGCCCUUCGGUUCGGAAUAACACAGGGAAACUUGUGCUAAUACCGGAUACGAUCUACGGAUGAAAGAUUUAUCGCCGAGGGAGUAGCCCGCGUAGGAUUAGCUAGUUGGUGAGGUAAUGGCUCACCAAGGCGACGAUCCUUAGCUGGUCUGAGAGGAUGAUCAGCCACACUGGGACUGAGACACGGCCCAGACUCCUACGGGAGGCAGCAGUGGGGAAUAUUGGACAAUGGCGAAAGCCUGAUCCAGCCAUGCCGCGUGAGUGAUGAAGGCCUUAGGGUUGUAAG
rnacentral:rRNA from 1 species